CCAGCAACCUAUGAACCGAACGCGUUCAAUUUCCCAACAGCAUUCUUGGGAGGAAGGGGCAUAUCAGCAUCAGCCGGAAUAGAUCCGGCAGAAUGGACGUCCGGAGAGACUGGACCCAACUGAAUAAUAAAUCCCGCACGACCCCCCCUGGCCCCCUCCCCUAUACAAUCCAUGAAAUGUUCCGUCAUCUGCGGACUUGCUCACGGCAAUUGCUUGGUGAAUCAUUUAGACUGGAACUGGCCCGUCACGGAUGGAUAUACUACCCCGACGACUGUGUGUUUCUGUGUCCCUUUUUGUGAUGGAAAUCAAUCCCGGCCACAGCAGCAGCAGCAGAAACAAAUGAAUAAUCAAAAUGAAUCUGACAUUAUAUCCCUGCUGCACGGCCAGAGCGUGAUUCAAUCAUUUCCAAAUCGGGCAAUGGAUAGUAUCAUCAUCAAAAUGUCCAUCAACCUUGCUUGAUUUGUCUCUCUUAUCUGUGUGUGUUUGUGUGUAUUCCAUUUGUGGUUUGCGCAAUAAUAAAAUAUCAUCUUUUUUUCGAUAGCGGGAGUUAAUAGUGAGGGUGGGGGGAGGUUCCUAUAGAUUUUUGGGUGGGGCAAAAAAAACAAACA